rnacentral:rRNA from 1 species
AACGAACGCUGGCGGCAUGCCUAACACAUGCAAGUCGAACGAGACCUUCGGGUCUAGUGGCGCACGGGUGCGUAACGCGUGGGAACCUGCCCUUAGGUUCGGAAUAACUCCCCGAAAGGGGUGCUAAUACCGGAUAAUGUCUUCGGACCAAAGAUUUAUCGCCUUUGGAUGGGCCCGCGUUGGAUUAGCUAGUUGGUAGGGUAAAAGCCUACCAAGGCGACGAUCCAUAGCUGGUCUGAGAGGAUGAUCAGCCACACUGGGACUGAGACACGGCCCAGACUCCUACGAGAGGCAGCAGUGGGGAAUAUUGGAAAAUGGGCGAAAGCCUGAUCCAGCAAUGCCGCGUGAGUGAUGAAGGCCUUAGGGUUGUAAAGCUCUUUUACCCGGGAUGAUAAUGACAGUACCGGGAGAAUAAGCUCCGGCUAACUACGUG